UACACGACUCUCGGCAAUGGAUAUCUCGGCUCUUGCAUCGAUGAAGAGCGCAGCGAAAUGCGAUACGUGGUGCGAAUUGCAGAAUCCCGUGAACCAUCGAGUCUUUGAACGCAAGUCGCGUCUGAGGCCAGCCGGCCAAGGGCACGUCUGCCUGGGCGUCAGGC
rnacentral:rRNA from 2 species